rnacentral:rRNA from 1 species
CAGCAGCCGCGAGAAUACAGAGGGUGCGAGCGUUAAUCGGAUUUACUGGGCGUAAAGCGUGCGUAGGCGGCUUUUUAAGUCGGAUGUGAAAUCCCUGAGCUUAACUUAGGAAUUGCAUUCGAUACUGGGAAGCUAGAGUAUGGGAGAGGAUGGUAGAAUUCCAGGUGUAGCGGUGAAAUGCGUAGAGAUCUGGAGGAAUACCGAUGGCGAAGGCAGCCAUCUGGCCUAAUACUGACGCUGAGGUACGAAAGCAUGGGGAGCAAACAGGAUUAGAUACCCCGGUAGUCCCUGUCUCUUAUAC